rnacentral:rRNA from 1 species
UACGUAGGGUGCAAGCGUUGUCCGGAAUUAUUGGGCGUAAAGAGCUCGUAGGCGGUUCGUCGCGUCGGCUGUGAAAUCCCGAGGCUCAACCUCGGGUCUGCAGUCGAUACGGGCAGACUGGAGUACUGCAGGGGAGACUGGAAUUCCUGGUGUAGCGGUGGAAUGCGCAGAUAUCAGGAGGAACACCGGUGGCGAAGGCGGGUCUCUGGGCAGUAACUGACGCUGAGGAGCGAAAGCGUGGGGAGCGAACAGG